UACGUAGGGUGCAAGCGUUGUCCGGAAUUAUUGGGCGUAAAGAGCUCGUAGGCGGUUUGUCGCGUCUGCUGUGAAAACGCGAGGCUCAACCUCGCGCCUGCAGUGGGUACGGGCAGACUAGAGUGCGGUAGGGGAGAUUGGAAUUCCUGGUGUAGCGGUGGAAUGCGCAGAUAUCGGGAGGAACACCGGUGGCGAAGGCGGUUCUCUGGGCCUUAUCUGACGCUGAUGCACGAAAGCUGGGGGGAGCAAACAGG
rnacentral:rRNA from 1 species